UACGUAGGGGGCAAGCGUUAUCCGGAUUUACUGGGUGUAAAGGGAGCGUAGACGGCAUAGCAAGUCUGAAGUGAAAGCCCGUGGCUCAACCGCGGAACUGCUUUGGAAGCUGUUAAGCUGGAGUACUGGAGAGGCAAGCGGAAUUCCUAGUGUAGCGGUGAAAUGCGUAGAUAUUAGGAGGAACACCAGUGGCGAAGGCAGCUUGCUGGACAGAGACUGACGUUGAGGCUCGAAAGCGUGGGGAGCAAACAGG
rnacentral:rRNA from 1 species